rnacentral:rRNA from 1 species
GACGAACGCUGGCGGCGUGCCUAAUACAUGCAAGUCGAGCGGACCAAUAGAAGCUUGCUUCUGUUGGUUAGCGGCGGACGGGUGAGUAACACGUGGGCAACCUGCCUGUAAGACUGGGAUAACUUCGGGAAACCGGAGCUAAUACCGGAUAAUUCAUCCCCUCGCAUGAGGGGAUGCUGAAAGUCGGUUUACGCUGACACUUACAGAUGGGCCCGCGGCGCAUUAGCUAGUUGGUGAGGUAAUGGCUCACCAAGGCGACGAUGCGUAGCCGACCUGAGAGGGUGAUCGGCCACACUGGGAAUGAGACACGGCCCAGACUCCUACGGGAGGCAGCAGUAGGGAAUCUUACACAAUGGACGAGAGUCUGAUGGAGCAACGCCGCGUGAGCGAUGAAGGCCUUCGGGUCGUAAAGCUCUGUUGUUAGGGAAGAACAAGUAUCGGAGUAACUGCCGGUACCUUGACGGUACCUAACCAGAAAGCCACGGCUAACUACGUGCCAGCCGCCGCCGUAACAC